rnacentral:rRNA from 1 species
AAGCUUGCUUCUAUGACGUUAGCGGCGGACGGGUGAGUAACACGUGGGCAACCUGCCUGUAAGACUGGGAUAACUUCGGGAAACCGAAGCUAAUACCGGAUAGGAUCUUCUCCUUCAUGGGAGAUGAUUGAAAGAUGGUUUCGGCUAUCACUUACAGAUGGGCCCGCGGUGCAUUAGCUAGUUGGUGAGGUAACGGCUCACCAAGGCAACGAUGCAUAGCCGACCUGAGAGGGUGAUCGGCCACACUGGGACUGAGACACGGCCCAGACUCCUACGGGAGGCAGCAGUAGGGAAUCUUCCGCAAUGGACGAAAGUCUGACGGAGCAACGCCGCGUGAGUGAUGAAGGCUUUCGGGUCGUAAAACUCUGUUGUUAGGGAAGAACAAGUACAAGAGUAACUGCUUGUACCUUGACGGUACC